GCAACAUACUCCCCUCCUGAGUUUCACAUAAAGGGAAAGUACCACGGCAAGCCUGCGACGGUUUGGUCACUGGGGGUUCUGUUAUUUAAAAUAGUGGCUGGAUAUUAUCCAAGUUUCUUAGAUCUGCACAUACUCAAACUGAACCUCUGGUCCAAAACUGGUCUGUCAAACGAAUGCUGCAGAUUGCUCCGCGUUCUCCUGCAAAUAAAGCCAAAGAACCGAAUUCAACUGGAGGAAAUCCUUUCCCACAAGUGGUUUACGGUCACCACAUAAGACCACCUCAGAAGUUGUUGUAUCUUCAGCUCUCCAAUGGUUCCUGCAAUAGUUGCACCAGUAUCAGAGGCCCAGUCUACGAC